rnacentral:piRNA from 1 species
UCCAGGUGUCUCUGGGAAGGGUUCUU